ACGCACGCUGGCGGCGUGCUUCACCCAUGCAAGUCGCACGGGCCCGCUCUCUUUUUUGGGGGUGGGUUGAGUGGCGAACGGGUGAGUAUCACGUGAGUAACCUGCCCCCUGCUCCUGGAUAACUGCUUGAAAGGGCGGCUAAUACGGGGUGUGCCGGCUGGUCCGCAUGGGCCUGGUCGGGAUAGUUUCAUCUUCGGGUGUUUCGGUGGGGGAUGGGCUCGCGGCCUAUCAGCUUGUUGGUGGGGUGAUGGCCCACCAAGGCGGUGACGGGUAGCCGGCCUGAGAGGGUGGGCGGCCACACUGGGACUGGGACACGGCCCAGACUCCUGCGGGAGGCAGCAGUGGGGGGUAUUGCACAAUGGACGGAAGCCUGAUGCAGCGACGUCGCGUGAGGGAUGGAGGCCGUCGGGUUGUGAACCUCUUUCUCCGGUGGUGAAGGCCCUGUCCGUUGCGGCGGGGUUGACGGUAGCCGGGGAUGAAGCGCCGGCUAACUACGUG
rnacentral:rRNA from 1 species